rnacentral:rRNA from 1 species
CAAAAUGCGAUAAGUAAUGNGAAUUGCAGAAUUCAGUGAAUCAUCGAAUCUUUGAACGCACAUUGCG